AGUAUUUUUUCGGUGACGGUUAAAUAUUCUUGCAACGACAAAAAGAGAUAAUCAUCAUGUUCGCCUUAGUGCUGUUUUUAGAUGGUGUUUAUCACAUUUGUAAACAGAAAUAAGUGAAAAAAUUGGUUGGGAAGAAAAAUGUGAGUGCUCCUUAUAAAAGCUGUGGCCGUUUUGAGGCGGAACUAAUUACGGAAAGCAGUGAGUAUAUAAUUUUCAUAAUUUUUAAUUCUUGAUUAUACUUGAGAUCAUUUCGGAUAAUAGGAAGGAGCUGUUAACUCUGAAGCAGAAGUUAGAGGCUGAAGAAAAAAAUUCAUCUGAAUCUACAUCAAGUAGGUUUACUGCUGAAAUCAAACAUUAUACCGAUUUUUCUUCUUAAUCAUCGAGAUGAAUGAUUUCUUUUUUUCGUUGUUGUAUAAAUAAAAUGAAAUUGAAUAUUUUUUCAUUUUUCAGAAACGACUGUGAAUAGUGAAAUCACAGUCAUUUCAAGCAAAGAUGAUGAAAAAUCCAAUCAAAGACAAGACGAUUUGGAUAUCUUCAAUGAUGAAAAUUCAAUCAGGAAUCCCGGGACAGCCAUUGUAUUUGAAGCUCCGUCCCCUAAUGUCAAAUGCCGUAGGAUGCGUUGGUCUGAAGAAGAGAAACGAAUAGCUUCAGAACGCUUCAAAGAAUACAUUAUGAAUAAUACAUUGCCAUCAUUCC